CUGCCCCACAUCAUGGGUUGGGAUAGGUUGAUGAGCAAUAUGCCGACAGUUGUAGGAGGGCAACAAUCAAAAGUGGUUCCACAACUUUUGGAUGAGUGGGAUAGAUGAAGUCCACCGGUAAUCUCGUCCGUAGCAAGCUUAAGGAACUUGGACUUGCAAACUUUUGUUCCUAGUACCUUGGACUUGCAAGAUUGUGUGCUUUAGCAUGGACUUAUCGUGUAUAGUGUAUUUUGAUCUGUUGCCAAAAGCUUAUUUGACCUGGUGUAGACAUUUUUGGCUUAAGAUGCUCAAG
rnacentral:lncRNA from 1 species